rnacentral:lncRNA from 1 species
AAAAAGAACUGGAGACUAUAAAAGGGUAUGCAUGGAAGUCUAGAGAUCACAGAAAACACACACUUCAUUUCUUAAGAAAAAAGUUGUUGAAGUUUGAAGAGAUCAUGAGGGCAAUAUAUAUUAUCAGCAUCAUUAUAGUGAGCUUGAGCAUUUUCUCUUGUGGUGGGAAUGCUCGACUUCUUCCUGCUAAUAGAGAUUAUCCAUGGGCAAUGUUUGCCCUAAGGCUUCAAUGGCCAGCUGGAUUUUACGAGGUCAACAAUGACUGUGAUACAAAGUCUCUCCUCAACACAUUUACCAUUCACGGCCUUUAUCCCUAUAACGCGAAGGGGAUCCCAGUGUUAUAUUGUGACGGAACUGCCUUUGAUGUUAACUCUGUGAGUUCUCUCAGUCUGCAUUUAAUUUACUUCUUAAAAUCCUUGCUCUAUUGUCUAUUAAAUAUGUUUUUUUGUGGUAACAUUUAUAUAUAUCUUGAAGAGUUGGAUAUGUUUGUUUGAUAAAAAAAAUGAAAUUGUACAUGCAAUAUAUAUCCAUACAUACUCACAUAUGUUAAACUAAUUUCUCUCCUCCUUUAUUUUGAAAAUUAACAGGUAUCGGACUUUCAAGCAGAAAUGCAUCUUGCAUGGCCGAGUCAUGAAACUAAUACUGAGGACAAACAAUUCUGGGAACACGAGUGGAAUAAACAUGGAAGGUGCUCAGAAGCUUUGUUGAAGCAGACUGAUUAUUUUAGAACGGCGCUUGCUUUUAGAAAAGCAUUUGAUAUAAUUGGGCUACUAAACCAGGAAGGUAAACAUACCCAUUGAUAUAUAAUUAAAUAGUCUUUAAUUUGGUUCAUUAAUUGCUUCCUAAGGGAACUACGUACUUAAUUUAGAUUUUGUGGAUGAUUAAUUGAUAAUGUGAGUUUGAUGAGAUUACUAUUCAAAAAUGUGUAGGGAUUUACCCGAAUAACGACCUUUAUCGUCCUAAAAUGAUAAAAGAAGCAAUCAAAAAGCACUUGAAUGCUGUGCCAGAAAUCGAUUUCACCAAAAACGAAAACUCAGAAUAUGUGCUUACGGAUAUUAAUCUAUGUGUGAACCAACAAGCAACAAGGUUCGUAGAUUGCCCUACCGAUGACGCUACUGAUGACUACCGCCUCAAAUUCGUAAGACUACCUUCUAAAAUGAAAAUUGCGGAUCCGAGGACCAAUUCUAUAAUAUAGCACAAAUGGUACGGCUACAAAAUGGACUACUAUCUUGUUUAAUUAAUGCUUUUGGGAGUAUAUAUUAUCUAUGUAAAAUAGUUAUGAGUGCUAGGGUUGGCUAAUUAGUACUAUGAGGCCAACCUUUAGUAUCUCUUGAAUAAUGUCCAUGUAGCAAAAGUUUAUAGCACUCUGGCCUUGGUGUGUAUGGAUAAUUAUAAUAAAUGACUACUUUUAUCUGCAAAAAAAAAUAAAAUCCAAGUAUUUUCUUUUGUUUUUAUUUUUGAUAAGAAUUUAAUUUUAUGUAGUUUGAUGGCAUAGUUUAUCUAGGAAGCUGAUAUUUUCACAUGUUAAAAUGAUAUUUUCAAACGAGUCUCUCACAAUAUGGAUGUGGGACUUGCUCACUAUUCAUGUGAGAGGGAUUAUGUGAAAAUAUCAAAUUUUUAUGUGAAAAUAUUAGCUCCCUUUAUCUAUUAUAAUGGUGAAACAUGACUUUUUGAUAUUUUUCACAUGAAAAUCGUCGCUAUAGAUCCUUUAGUAGUGGUUUUUACUGUCGCUAUACAUCUCUAUAGCUACAUUUUUUAUAUAAAAAUAUCAAAAAAAUAUGUGGAAAUAUCAAGCAUGCAUGCAUCGUACCAGAAAACAUUUAAAGGGACACUUCAAAGGGAUUUCAGACAAAAAAUAAAACCAAAAAUAAAUGAUUUCAUCACAAUUUUGUUUUCAAGUAUUGUCGCAAAUCAGUGGUCACUAAAAAAAAAAAGGAAAAUAUAUUUGUCGCAAUCUAUAAAACAUGACUGAAAACAGGGGCGAAGCCACAGUUCAGGAUGUGUGGUCAAUUGAUUUCAUUGAAAAAUAUAUAUUUUAUAAUAUAUGAUAAAUUUAAAGAAUAUUUAAGUGUAAUAAAUAAAUUGACUUCAUUGAAAUUUUAUAACCUUUUUAAUAUACGGUGUUAAAUUGAAUUUUUUAUAACUUUCUCAAUUCUAUAUUAUUUCUACUCCUUGAUGUAUGCUUAUUUCUCUAAUAUUUUUAAAAUAAAUAAUAAUUUAAUUUAUAUUAUUUUUAUAUCAUAAGAAAUUUAAAUAUUUAUUAACAAAUUUAUGAUUAAAAAACGUAUUAGGGGUCAAUAAGGAGUUUUUUUGUGUGUGUGUGUGUGUGUGUGUGUAUAUAUAUAUACAUGUUGUUUCAUUUUAUGUCUUUAGGUUUAGUUUAUCAGGAUACUAGGUAGAUUAUUUCAUUUGGGUCUCUCUUGAGCCUUAAUUUUAGGUUGCCCUCUUUUAUAAAGAGGAUGAUUCGAUUUCAACUGCUGACAUCUGUACCAGUUGGUUCAUGGACAAGUUUCUUUUGAUAAGUUAGUAUCAUGGACAAAUAUAAAUAAUAAUUAACUGUUACAAUGAAAAUUAAACUUCAAUUAAGUCUAGGCCAUUCAUACAUUGAAAAAAGCUUCUUGAAUAGGUUAGAGAGUUUGUGAAAUAUUUUUUUAGUUUGCUUAACCCUUUGAAAAGCGGUUGUGGUAAGAACAAAUAUUGAUAAGUUAUUGAAACACCGCUUUUCAAAGGGUUAAGCAAACUAAAAAAAUAUUUCACAAACUCUCUAACCUAUUCAAGAAGCUUUUUUCAAUGUAUGAAUGGCCUAGACUUAAUUGAAGUUUAAUUUUCAUUAUAACAGUUAAUCAUUAUUUAUACUUGUCCAUGAUACUAACUUAUCAAAAGAAACUUGUCCAUAAACCAACUGGUACAGAUGUCAGCAGUUGAAACCGAAUCAUCCCCUUUAUAAAAGAGGGCAACCUAAAAUUAAGGCUCAAGAGAGACCCAAAUGAAAUAAUCUACCUAGUAUCCUGGUAAACUAAACCUAAAGACAUAAAAUGCAGUAACAUAUGUACAUGAAGGACAUAUUGAAACACUGCUUUUUUUUUCUUUUUUGAUAAGUUAUUAAAACACCGCUUUUCAAAGGGUAAGCAAACUUGAUACAGGAAGAGAAGUAACCCUUUGAGCAGCAGGAACCCAUCUGGGUGGAGGCGAAUCCAACAAUCAACUCAGAAUUACAAAAUCCUAUACAAUAAGAUUACACACAAACUCUAAAUUUCAUUCAUUUAGUUAGAAAAUUAGAAAAUACCUUGGGAGACGACGAACUUGCUUUCGAAUUCGUCCGGCGAACUUGCUUUCGAAUUCGUCCGACGAGAUGCUUGGAUUUGCGAUUGAGAAUGAGCCAGAUUUCGUCUGGCGAGAUGCUUGGAUUCGCGAUUGAGAAUGAGCAAGAUGGUCUCUGUCCUUUUUUUGACCCGAAAAGGAUCCGCGGCUAUUUUUUCCCAAAAGGUCUGUGUCUUUUCCUCGCCGUUGGAUGUAUCUCACGAUUAGUAUGAAAAGUUCGUAUUUUUGGCAACAUCCGGGCGCCCGGACCAGAUCGUUUCUGUAUAUGUAUGUAUGUAUAUAUAUAUAUAUAUAUAUAUAUAUAUAUAUAUAUAUAUAUGCGUUGUGAGAUCUGUGGUAUUGUGUUGCAUGGGGUAAUAUAAACUAUGCAAUAAGUGAUUUCUGUGUUUAAUAAAUAUAUUAUUAUAUAUUUGUUAUUUAUUGAAGAGGCAAGUUAUUUGAAGUAAAGAAGAUGGAUAAAAAUUUAUCGAUAUUAAAUAAUUUAUGUGAAAUUAUUUUAUCGUAGUAAGUUGGUGACAUUAAAUAUAUUUGAUAAUCACCAAUUUCUUUAGUAUAUGUAUGAGUAAGUAUCACGUCUAAGGCAGUGCAACCGUACCCUUUAAUGGUGGUUGUGUAGGAGCUGGGCUAACUGAUUCCUUCAGAGAGCGGAGAUAUAUACAAAUUAGUAACCGAUCUAACUUACUGUGAAAACAGUGUAGACGAGAAGGAAAGUAAUUUGUUGGUUAUUUGUGGGAAACCACUCAGUGUACUAUAUUGAAUACUAUUAAAGACUCGAUGUGUGUUAGGUUUAGACUUGUAUAUAUAUACGUUAUUGACGAGAGAAGAAAAUCGAUAUAUCUUUAGAUAAAUAUUGGUUAGAGAUUUAUUGAUUAAUAUUGAGAUAUGAUUAAAUGUAUAGAUUAAAGAAAUUGUGUUGAGACAAUUUAUAGAAAGGAAAGAGAAAUAAUUAUAGUAUAUUUCUAAUAAAGGAUAUUAAAAUAAAUUCUAGCAUUUGAUUAUUUUAAUAAUAAUGGGGAAUAUUAUUUUGAAAUUACCUUAUAGGUAAUGUGUGUGAUUAAGUAAUAUGGUAAAUAUAUUAAAACAUAUUUGCUAUAUAAGUUGAUGGAAACAAUUUAUCAUAAUAGGAAAUAAACUUAUUUUCUAUAUAUAGUGUGUACGUGUGUCGUGCAUGUAAAUAUUUUAAUAAUACAUAGAUAUUAUAUUAACAAUAAUAUCUUGAGAAAAUGAGUAAAUCGUUUUAUUAUGAUUAGUUCCUAUAUUUAGAGAAAACAUGAUAAAAUCAUCGUAUGUUAUGUUAUGGCGAAAUACAUAAUUUUGAUUGUAGUAAUGUAUUUCCAAGAAGGUUAAAGUUAAAAGAAAACUAAGUUAUUCUAAUAACUUGAGUUAUUAUAUUACCGCGAAUGUUAUAAAGAAUAUUUAAAUAUCUUCAUUCACGAUAUAUUUAUAUAUGUGAAUCUUGUGAUAUAAUAGUUCGAUGUAAAUUGAACAUAUUAUAAAUAGUAAGGUUCGUGGUAAAUGAAUAAGUAAUGAGAAUGAGGAUAAGCUUAAUGUAAGCUUGUGAGAUAUGCCUAGUGUGGUAAAGUGAUGGAAUAAACAUUCAUUAAAUAAUUUAAUGAAUGAAUAAUUGAAGGAAUUAAAUUGUAUGUGCAAUGAUUAUAUAUUAUAUAGUAACUACAUCUAUAUGAUAUGAAAUGAAGUGUGACACUUCAAUGGUAACUAUAUAAUAUAUGAAGUAUUUGAAUACAUAUGUAUAAAGACUAGUAUGCUAGCAUUAUGUACAAGUGAGAUAAUAAAUGUAAUAUGGUACAAUAGACCACUUCCAUGACCAUAUUAUAAGAUGUAAUGUUAAGAAUAAUAUUAUUUUGUGAGAUUAUUUUAUUAUAAGCUUGUGGACUAUUAAUUACUAAGUUCACAUAAUUAUGUCUUGUGUGGCAUAACUAGUGAAGUUAAAUCAAAGGGAGAAUUAAUGGAAAGUAUUAAAAGAAAAUAAAUGGUGAGUUAAUAAAUAAUUGAUAUUAAUUAUCAUUAUGAUAAUUGAGGGUAUUUGAGGUAAUAAAGUUUAUGGAAAAUGAUGGAUUGAGAAUAUCCAACUAUUUUAUAUUUAGCCCAAUAAAAAUAUUAAUUGAAAUAAACCAAUGUACAUAGAUUAUAUAAAUUCUAUGUGUAAUGUAUAAGUGAGUGUAUAUGUAUGAUCAUUUUUGGACAAAUAUCAAAUAAACCUAAGUAUGCUAAUAGUAAUACAAAAUGUUGAGUUUUAAGGGUAGUGUCCCAAAUUGUGUGUCAUUUCUCCAUACACGUGAAAUGCAAAAAGGAUAGCUAGCUAGCUUGCUUCUUCUUCUCCAAAAUCCAUAGCUUCCAAAUGAUGAAAAGGGGAGUGAGUUGAUUUGAUUUUCCACCAACUUCUCAUGAACCAUUAGUUUCUUCUUCAUUCCAUUGAGCAAAGUUCCAAUGUUGGUCAAAAAGUUUUCCUAUAAAUGAAGCAAGUUUCAUUCUUGUACUUCUUGUUGAUCACUCUGUGAAGUUCAAAAAUUUGUGUGUGUGAGUGUUGUUGAGUUGGAGAGGAAACUUGAGAUUGAAAGCAAAGAGUUUACUUCACAACUUUAGAAGGUAAUAUCCCUCUAUAUGUUAUUGAAUUCAAGUUUUGCAAAGUUCUUAAAAAAGUACUAAAAUACUUGUUUUGAGUUGAAAAGUUUAUGGUUGAAGCAUGAUAAAGUGUGUCAAUUGAUGCUAGACACUGAUAAUAUAG